CCCUGUAUUCGAAAGUGAUUGUGGGCUGCCAGUGCCCUGGUCAUUGAUACUGCAGGGAGAGGAUUUGGAAAGCCUUUCCCCGUGUUUGGAGGAUCCACACUUGUCCUUGCCAAACCCUGAUGCUUUCCCACA
ensembl:snoRNA Gm23925 small nucleolar RNA SNORA71